UACGUAGGGUGCAAGCGUUGUCCGGAAUUAUUGGGCGUAAAGAGCUCGUAGGCGGUCUGUCGCGUCGGCUGUGAAAACUCGGGGCUCAACCCCGAGCCUGCAGUCGAUACGGGCAGACUAGAGUGCUGUAGGGGAGACUGGAAUUCCUGGUGUAGCGGUGAAAUGCGCAGAUAUCAGGAGGAACACCGGUGGCGAAGGCG
rnacentral:rRNA from 1 species